GAUCCUGGCUCAGGAUGAACGCUAGCGACAGGCUUAACACAUGCAAGUCGAGGGGCAGCGGGGAGUAGCAAUACUUCGCCGGCGACCGGCGCACGGGUGAGUAACACGUGUGCAACCAACCCCGUACCGGGAGAUAACCCGCGGAAACGUGGACUAACAUCCCAUAAUACUGGAGGAUCGCAUGAUCUUUCAUUUAAAAUUCCGGUGGUACGGGACGGGCACGCGCGACAUUAGGUAGUUGGCGGGGUAAGGGCCCACCAAGCCG
rnacentral:rRNA from 1 species